GAAUAUUGCACAAUGGGCGAAAGCCUGACGCAGCAACGCCGCGUGGAGGAUGAAGGUCUUCGGAUUGUAAACUCCUGUCAGUAGGGACGAAAGUCAGGGGGUUAAUAUCCCUCUGGCUUGACGGUACCUGCAGAGGAAGCCCCGGCUAACCCAGUGCCAGCAGCCGCGGUAAUACGGAGGAGGCAAGCGUUAUUCGGAAUUAUUGGGCGUAAAGCGCGCGUAGGCGGCUUGACAAGUCAAGGGUGAAAUCCCUCGGCUCAACCGAGGAACUGCCCUUGAAACUGUCUAGCUUGGGGCCGGGAGGGGGUAGCGGAAUUCCCAGUGUAGCGGUGAAAUGCGUAGAUAUUGGGAGGAACACCGGUGGUGAAGGCGGCUACCUGGACCGGUUCUGACGCUGAUGUGCGAAAGCGUGGGGAGCAAACAGG
rnacentral:rRNA from 1 species